AGUUCGAUUCUGGCUCAGAUUGAACGCUGGCGGGAUGCUUUACACAUGCAAGUCGAACGGCAGCACGGACUUCGGUCUGGUGGCGAGUGGCGAACGGGUGAGUAAUGUAUCGGAACGUGCCUAGUGGGGAUAACUACGCGAAAGCGUAGCUAAUACCGCAUACGCCCUUCGGGGGAAAGCGGGGGGACCUUCGGGCCUCGCACUAUUAGAGCGGCCGAUAUCGGAUUAGCUAGUUGGUGGGGUAACGGCUCACCAAGGCGACGAUCCGUAGCUGGUUUGAGAGGACGACCAGCCACACUGGGACUGAGACACGGCCCAGACUCCUACGGGAGGCAGCAGUGGGGAAUUUUGGACAAAUGGGGAAACUCCUGAUCCAGCCAUCCCGCGUGUGCGAUGAAGGCCUUCGGGUUGUAAAGCACUUGAAAAGAAACGGCACGGGAUAAUACCCCGUGCAACUGACGGUACCUGCAGAAUAAGCACCGGCUAACUACGUGCCAGCAGCCGCGGUAAUACGUAGGGUGCAAGCGUUAAUCGGAAUUACUGGGCGUAAAGCGUGCGCAGGCGGUUCGGAAAGAAAGAUGUGAAAUCCCAGAGCUUAACUUUGGAACUGCAUUUUUAACUACCGAGCUAGAGUGUGUCAGAGGGAGGUGGAAUCCGGGCGUGUAGCAGUGAAUGCGGAUAUGCGGAGGAACACCGAUGGCGAAGGCAGCCUCCUGGGAUAACACUGACGCUCAUGCACGAAAGCGUGGGGAGCAAACAGGAUUAGAUACCCUGGUAGUCCACGCCCUAAACGAUGUCAACUAGCCGUUGGGGCCUUCGGGCCUUCGGUAGCGCAGCUAACGCGUGAAGUUGACCGCCUGGGGAGUACGGUCGCAAGAUUAAAACUCAAAGGAAUUGACGGGGACCCGCACAAGCGGUGGAUGAUGUGGAUUAAUUGAUGCAACGCGAAAAACCUUACCUACCCUUGACAUGUCUGAAUCCCGAAGAGAUUUUGGGAGUGCUCGCAAGAGAACCGAACACAGGUGCUGCAUGGCUGUCGUCAGCUCGUGUCGUGAGAUGCUGGGUUAAGCCCCGCAACGAGCGCAACCCUUGUCAUUAGUUGCUACGAAAGGGCACUCUAUCGAGACUGCCGGUGACAAACCGGAGGAAGGUGGGAUGACGUCAAGUCCUCAUGGCCCUUAUGGGUAGGGCUUCACACGUCAUACAAUGGUCGUGGGACAGAGGGCCAACCCGCGAGGGGGAGCCAAUCCCAGAAACCCGAUCGUAGUCCGGAUCGCGUCUGCAACCCGACUGCGUGAAGUCGGAAUCGCUAGUAAUCGCGGAUCAGCAUGUCGCGGUGAAUACGUUCCCGGGUCUUGUACACACCGCCCGUCACACCAUGGGAGUGGGUUUUACCAGAAGUAGUUAGCCUAACCGUGGCGAGGGCGAUUACCACGGUAGGAUUCAUGACUGGGGUGAAGUCGUAACAAGGUAA
rnacentral:rRNA from 1 species